GUCCAGGAGCCAACAGCCUCUCUGUGCAAACCAGACAACCCUGCAGGAACUGUGCUUGAAGAAACCGUGGAAACUGCCCCCAACCCUCCCGUCUCUAUUUCUUUCUCUGUUUUAUUAUCUCAUUCUUGGCUGUGAGGUAAACAGGAGAAAAUGAGAAGGUGGUUCUGGAGGACCCGACCGAAUUUGCUUUCGUGACAGGGUCAAGCGCCCUUUCCUCGCCGGCCGCAGCCCUCACCAAAGGGGAUUUGGGGGCCUCCGGACAGGGGUCCUGAAGGUUUUGAAUUGUUCAAUCUCUGGGGGUACAGGAACCCCUGCAGGAGGUUUCAAAGGCAAGAGUUUCGCAGAGAGAAAAAAACCAUGAACUUUGCAGGUUGGUGGCGGAAUCUGGUGAUUUAAGAAAACGUGUUUAAGCCUCGGCCGGGCCGCGCCUGGGCUGUCUGCGGUGCUCUUCCGGAAUUCUCUACAAUAUCUGGAAGUGACCAAGAAAAUUCCAGAACCCGGAGGCUGCGCCGUGGAGAUAAACAUGGGCACCUGGGAAGGAACUGCUGGACCAGCAGAAUGAGGGGCCAACGCCAGGGGCAGCACUGCCCGGCCACAGAGGACUGUGGCCCCACAGAUGACACCCUCAGCUACCAGCUCCUGCAUCUGGAAGAUGACCAGGAGGAGGAAGGACGGUCUGCAAGUGUUCAAAGUGAUGUUUCCAGGCCGGGCGCGCUUGUAAUACCAGCAUUUGGGAGGCUGAGGCAGGCGGAUCACCUGAGGUCGGGAGUUCGAGACCAGCCUGACCAACGUGGAGAAACCCCGUCUCUACUAAAAAUACAAAAUUAGCCAGGCGUGGUGGCGCAGCUACUCGGGAGGCUGAGGCAGGAGAAUCGCUUGAACCCGGGAGGCGGAGGUUGCGGUGAGCUGAGAUUGUGCCAUUGCACUCCAGCCUGGGCAACAAGAGUGAAACUCCGUCUGAAAAAAAAAAAACCUCUAUAACAUCCAAAAUACUAACCACUUGUUACCUCUAGAUUGUUUGGGGAUGUUAGAUUUCUCCUUUGUUGCCAGCUCUUUUAUUUUUAUUUAUUUAUUUAUUAUUAUUAUUAUUAUUAUUAUUAUUAUUAUUAUUUUGAGAUGGAGUCUUGUUCUGUUGCCCAGGAUGGAGUGCAGUGGUGUGAUCUCGGCUCACUGCAACCUCCGCCUCCUGGGUUUGAGCAAUUCUCCUGCCUCAGCCUCCCGAGUAGCUGGGACUACACGCGUGUGCCACCACGCCAGGCUAAUUUUUGUAUUUUUAGUAGAGACGGGGUUUUGCCAUGUUGGCCAGGAUGGUCAGGAACUCCCCAACUCUUAUUUUUAAAUGUUGGGCCACACAAGUCUGGGAAAUGUUAGUUUUCAAACACAUCAGGGAAUAAAUGGAUACAAAAGUCUUGAGGACCACUUAA